AGCAAUGCUUCAUAUAUUUGUUGCCUUUGAGCGUCCGUCAAAUUUCUACACUUACGUGAAAUAUUUGUGUUUGUAUGUUCAUGUUGUUCAACGUCAGAGUCUCCAACUCCUCUUCAAAAACUAUGUCCACAGCAUCAGUGUAGACACCAUAGUCGUCCAUGUCCUCGAUCAUGUCUACAAAAAAAAAUGUGAGACAGCAGCAGCAAAAAAAGUUGUGAGCUCAUGUUGGUGAUCGGCAGCUUCUAAAUUGAUGUCAAAAUUAUCCUGUUCAUGUGGAGCAUCAAAGUUGAUAUCUCCAUCUUGUUGAUGGCCGUCUUCAACAGCAAGAACUGCAAUAGGGUGGGAGAUGUCAUUGAUGGCUGAAAGAAGCAACAAUAUUGAGAUAUAUGGCAUGCAGAGCACCGUCUUGCUCUUUCUGAAGAUAGUGGGACUGACCUAUGAGUGGAUGCACUUCUUCAUUAAUGAGAUGAAAUUGAUCUUCCUGGAGGUAUUGGAUUUCAUGUCCUGUAUCAUCAGCAAGCUCUUGAUUUAGGUCUGGUUGAUGGAGGUUGGUGCAGCAUUUAGAUAAGGUUGAUAGAGGUUGUAACACUUCGGAGAAUGGGGGAAGGCUGUCAUUGUUGGAGUCUUUAUAGUGCCGCAAAGUGGCGCCCAGUUCAAAUUUCAGGCUGAAGACAAAUGGGCGCCAGAAUGGGGACUAGAACUUUCUGUAGUACUCCUGGCCACAUUCUACUCUGUGUAUUGCUACUGUUUCUAUUUUGUCUGUUGCUUGUGCUGGUUGAAUUGUGACCACACAUUUGUAUCGUGGCUGUUGAUCUGUAUGGGGCCACUGAUGUCAGCUGCACUUUUUAGAGGUAUAAUUGUAAUUUUGCAUGUACA